rnacentral:rRNA from 1 species
CCUACGGGUGGCAGCAGUGAGGAAUAUUGGUCAAUGGGCGAGAGCCUGAACCAGCCAAGUCGCGUGAGGGAGUACUGCCCUAUGGGUUGUAAACCUCUUUUGUCGGGGAGCAAAAGCCGGACGUGAACGGCUGUGAGAGGACCCGAAGAAAAAGCAGCGGCGAACUCCGGGCCAGUAGCCGCGGUAAGACGUAGGUGGCAAGCGUUGUCCGGAUUUACUGGGUGUCAAGGGCGUGCAGCCGGUGUGACAAGUCAGAUUGUACAUCCCCGGGCUCAACCCGUGAACUGCAUUUGAAACUGUUUCCCUUGAGUGUCGGAUCGGUAAUCGGACUUCCUUGUGUAGCGGUGAAAUGCGUAGAUAUAAGGAAGAACACCAGUGGCGAAGGCGGCUUACUGGACGAUACCUGACGGUGAGGCGCGAAAGCGUGGGGAGCAAACAGGAUUAGCUACCCUAGUAGUC